GGGGCCUCGAUCGCGCUAUUGUCAUGGAGACGGGAAGCUGGCUGCAGCGGCAGCAGGGACAGCUGGGCCGAGGUGGCUUCCAGCCGGCCAAAGCUUAAGCGAGGCGGAACGCCCCGGGAGGCCCGAGCCUGGGGCAGCGUGGAGCCGGCCAGUGGUGGCCUCGCCGGCGGCCUCUUCCCGGGCUCGCAGUAGGCCCGAGUCUUCGCUGGGAGCUCCCGGGAGCAGCGUCCCCGCCCUGCUGCCCUCGCUCCCGCCUCUUGCAGCCCCACGGCCCCUCAGUGCCCGCCCCCGGCUCCGCCCGCCGCAGCCGCAGCCCCUGGCGCUAACGGUCGGUAACGGCCCGCGCGCGCCGCCCGCCGGGGGCUCGCGCCAGCCACGAGGGAGCGUCCGCGGCCCGCGCGCCCGCGCGGCGGAGGAGAGGUGAUAAGUGUGAUGUUUCCGUAAUACAUUUGGAUGUUGUCAGCUAAGUUCACUUCUGAACUAUGGGGUUCCUCCACAUGUUGGCUGAAAUUUGUCCUUGCAUAUCCCAAGGCUCGUCUGCAAAGUCUACAAUUCAUAAUGGAGCUACUGUACUGGCUAUUGGAAGGAGGAGAUUCUGAAGAUAAGGAGGUAAUGUUAUCUCUUUUAAAAGAAUACUUUCCUCUGUAAUCCUGAACCUUUAUUACAUGUAAGAACUUUGUGCAGUAGACAGCAAUUUCUUUAAAUUUGGUAUAUGGAAACAAUUUUAUUUUCCUCUGCUGAGUUUUUGAGCCUGCCUCUUCUAGUGCUAUGGACUGCAUUGGUAGAGCUGAGAAAUACCAUUUUGCCAUACUCAGCACCCUUAAAAUAGCUUCUUUCUGCGAAUUAGAUCUUCAAAGGUGUCCUGCACAGUUCUUGUAGAUGUCAUUUUAGUUUGUGGUUGACGUGCAUGCAU